CCUACGGGUGGCUGCAGUGGGGAAUAUUGCACAAUGGGCGCAAGCCUGAUGCAGCCACGCCGCGUGUGUGAUGAAGGCCUUCGGGUUGUAAAGCACUUUCAGCGGGGAGGAAGGCGGUGAGGUUAAUAACCUCAUCGAUUGACGUUACCCGCAGAAGAAGCACCGGCUAACUCCGUGCCAGCAGCCGCGGUAAUACGGAGGGUGCAAGCGUUAAUCGGAAUUACUGGGCGUAAAGCGCACGCAGGCGGUCUGUCAAGUCGGAUGUGAAAUCCCCGGGCUCAACCUGGGAACUGCAUUCGAAACUGGCAGGCUAGAGUCUUGUAGAGGGGGGUAGAAUUCCAGGUGUAGCGGUGAAAUGCGUAGAGAUCUGGAGGAAUACCGGUGGCGAAGGCGGCCCCCUGGACAAAGACUGACGCUCAGGUGCGAAAGCGUGGGGAGCAAACAGGAGUAGAUACCCCUGUAGUC
rnacentral:rRNA from 1 species